GUAGGUGAACCUGCGGAAGGAUCAUUAACGAGUUAGGGUCUUCCAGGCCCGACCUCCAAACCCUAUGUUUAUUGAACCUCUGUUGCUUCGGCGGACCCGUCUCACGGCCGCCGGAGGACCGCUGAAAGGCGUCCUCUGGCCCGCGUCCGCCGAUGGCCAACCACUCAAACUCUGAAUGAAUCGUGUCAUAUGUCUGAGUCUAUGAUUAAAUUAAAGCAAAACUUUCAACAACGGAUCUCUUGGUUCUG
rnacentral:misc_RNA from 1 species